CUCAGAACUUCAAGUGUAGAAGGGGGGAUCCACAAGCCAGCUGUUGGGGGAAACGCUCUUUUCCGGUCUGAAAUGUCACCAGAAGACGACACGGCGAAUUAAUUCCUUCCAAGACCCUACUCCGCCAAGUAAACACGUGUCCCUAAAGAUGAUUUGUUUGCGCUGAAGGCCAAAAGUCUGAUAAAUCCACAGUUUUUCAGCCCAGACGUCGAGGAGGAAACGUUGUGUCGUGUAUCGUUUGUCCAGCUGCACGCUACACUCAUUGGUUCUCUGCUACGUCAGUCACCGCUUCCGAGCUUUGCUAUUGGUCCAGAUAACAUCAUGCCCCACCCAAGCUCUUCAUUCACGUAAGUAAACAAAAUAUAACCUAUUUUUUUCGCUUUCCUCUUUUUUUUCUAAUCAGUGUGGCCAGUUAUUCUUUGACAACGUGGCUAUUUUAGAGAGGUUUGACCCUUACUUUGAACAAACGUAUACUUGUUUUGGCUGCAGGGCUGUAAGGUAAAAAAAGAUACAUCUGCAGCAGACGAAAUACAACGUAAUCUAUUUAAUAUGUGAGUCUGCAACCCUUAGUCCAUUUAAUGACUAACGGACAUACCUCAAGCUGCAGCCCACUGACAUGAAAAGUUUCCGGUGAGCAAGUUGUACCGAUGUUAUACUGUGUCUCCUGUCAUUUACUGCAACACAAAAAAUGUAAACACACAAGUGUAUAAAAAUUUUAUAGGGGAGAGUGGGGUAAGAGGAGCCAUUUUUCAUAUUUCAGAUCACUACAUCAAGGCAAUCAUAGUUUUGUCUCUAACUAGUGUAUCUGCAUAUAUUUAAAGAUGUUGUUCAUCCCUGCAAACCAACAGAAUGAUUGUAAACAGAACUGUCUUGAUAAUAUAGUAUGCAAAAAAAAGUCGUCUCAUAUGGUCAACUUCCCCCAUGUAUGGGGUAAGUUGACCAUAAGAGCAGGGUAAGUUGAGCCGUAUGUUAAACCCAUUUUAACAUGAGAAUGUCUUUAAGUGAUUCAGAACAUCUACAGCUGUAUUCUUAAAAAGAAAAAGUCACACAUUUCACCACUCUGAACUGAAACUCUGAUUUUCUCAUCAGACUCCUUUACUUUCUCAGUUGACCCUCUGGCUCAACUUACCCCAGAACUACUAUUAUGACUUUAUUAGUCCUCUAAGCUAAAAUAGUGGACUGUUAUGCUAGGUUUUUGACCUCAUGUUGUAGCUCAUAGAUACCACAAUUGAUGUAUAAAAUAAAUUUAAAAUGAUCUUUUUUGGUCGGAACACAACUCUAAUAAAACUUAUGACAGACUAAAUUCACUUUCAAGAGUUAAAAAUGUUUUUUUGGAAAUAAAUAUCUAACCCCUUCACCCAUGUGCUUCUAACCUUCACAGACUCCACGAAUUGAUACUCAC